rnacentral:tRNA from 1 species
GCGGAUGUGGUGGAAUGGCAGACACGCUAUCUUGAGGGGGUAGUGCUCUACGAGUGUGCGGGUUCAAAUCCCGCCAUCCGCA